CAGUAGCCGCGGUAAUACGUAGGGUGCAAGCGUUAAUCGGAAUUACUGGGCGUAAAGCGUGCGCAGGCGGUUUCGUAAGACAGAUGUGAAAUCCCCGGGCUUAACCUGGGAACUGCAUUUGUGACUGCGAGGCUAGAGUGUGUCAGAGGGGGGUGGAAUUCCACGUGUAGCAGUGAAAUGCGUAGAUAUGUGGAGAAACACCGAUGGCGAAGGCAGCCCCCUGGGAUAACACUGACGCUCAUGCACGAAAGCGUGGGGAGCAAACAGGAUUAGAUACCCCCGUAGUCCCUGUCUCUUAUAC
rnacentral:rRNA from 1 species